rnacentral:rRNA from 1 species
GCAUAUCAAUAAGCGGAGGAAAAGAAACCAACAGGGAUUGCCUCAGUAACGGCGAGUGAAGCGGCAAAAGCUCAAAUUUGAAAUCCCCCCGGGGAGUUGUAAUUUGAAGAUUGCGUCUUGGAGGCGACCGUGUCUAUGUUCCUUGGAACAGGACGUCACAGAGGGUGAGAAUCCCGUGCGGCACGGCCCCCGGCUCCUUAUAAGGCGCUCUCGACGAGUCGAGUUGUUUGGGAAUGCAGCUCAAAGUGGGUGGUAAAUUCCAUCUAAAGCUAAAUACAGGCGAGAGACCGAUAGCGAACAAGUACAGUGAUGGAAAGAUGAAAAGCACUUUGAAAAGAGAGUGAAACAGCACGUGAAAUUGUUGAAAGGGAAGGGCAUGCCGUCAGAUUGUCAGUGUGGGUAAGAAGCGGGGUACAAAGACUGUGGAACGUGGCCCUCGGGUGUUAUAGCCGCAGUUCAUGCCCCGUCUCUUUCCGAGGCCUGCUUUGAGGACACCGACGUAAUGACGGUACGCCGUCCGUCUUGAAACACGGACC